GUUAAAUUUACUGCAUAACAUCCGGAAGAAAUAAUGAUUUGAGAAGAUACAAUGCCAAACAAAUGUUGUCCAGUGUUUCUUGCCUCUUUGAUUGUUUUCGAUCUUCUAAUUCCAGUUUCUGGUUCAACAAACAACAUCUCCAGAAACGCGAGCCAAAAUCAAAAACCGGGAGUUUAUUCGCUGGAUUUCAUCUUGCCUGGAUCUUAUCAUUGGUACGGGAUAAAUUGCGCUGAAUUCAGCUCUUAUUUCUGCCUGGUGAAACUCUGGCUGCCCAGAUCUUUCGCUGAACAAAACAAUGCCACUGGGGUGAAACUUGCACCAAGGAUCGAAAAGUCCAAAUUUUAUUAUAUGGC